UCGGGAAUUUUGGGCAAUGGGCGAAAGCCUGACCCAGCAACGCCGCGUGAAGGAUGAAGUAUUUCGGUAUGUAAACUUCGAAAGAAUAGGAAGAAUAAAUGACGGUACUAUUUAUAAGGUCCGGCUAACUACGUGCCAGCAGCCGCGGUAAUACGUAGGGACCAAGCGUUGUUCGGAUUUACUGGGCGUAAAGGGCGCGUAGGCGGCAUGACAAGUCACUUGUGAAAUCUCUGGGCUUAACCCAGAACGGCCAAGUGAUACUGUCGCGCUAGAGUGCAGAAGGGGCAAUCGGAAUUCUUGGUGUAGCGGUGAAAUGCGUAGAUAUCAAGAGGAACACCUGAGGUGAAGACGGGUUGCUGGGCUGACACUGACGCUGAGGCGCGAAAGCCAGGGGAGCAAACGGGAUUAGAUACCCACGUAGUCCCUGAGCGGGCUGGCAAGGCGCAU
rnacentral:rRNA from 1 species